AGCAGCCUCAGAGCUCCACGGGUCCCUACGCGCUUAGCACAUGCGCGCAGGCCCCGCUCCCGCUUCCUCCACUUCCUCCAGCUCCCAGCGUCCGGACAGCCGCCGCCGCCGCCGCCGCCAAGGAGUCAGGAAGUUCAAGAUGGCCGCCGCGGAGCCCCAGGCGCUGCGGGAACAGCCCGAGAUGGAAGAUGCUGAUAAUUCUGAGAAAAGUGUAAAUGAAGAAAAUGGAGAAGUAUCAGAAGAUCAAUCUCAAAAUAAGCACAGUCGUCACAAAAAAAAGAAGCAUAAACACAGAAGUAAACAUAAGAAACAUAAACAUUCCUCAGAAGAAGACAAAGAUAAAAAACAUAAACAUAAGCAUAAGCAUAAGAAACAUAAAAGAAAAGAGAUUAUCGAUGCUUCUGACAAAGAAGGUAUGUCUCCAGCAAAAAGAACUAAACUUGAUGAUUUAGCUUUGCUGGAAGACUUAGAAAAACAGAGAGCCUUGAUUAAAGCUGAACUUGAUAAUGAGUUAAUGGAAGGAAAAGUCCAAUCUGGGAUGGGGCUCAUAUUACAAGGUUAUGAGUCUGGCUCAGAAGAAGAAGGGGAGAUUCAUGAAAAGGCAAGAAAUGGAAAUAGGUCUAGUACUAGAUCCUCCAGUGCAAAGGGGAAACUUGAACUUAUGGACAAUAAAAAUAGUACAAAAAAGCGAAGUAAAAGCAGAUCCAAAGAACGGACUAGACAUAGGUCUGAUAAAAAGAAAAGUAAGGUCAGUGCUGAAAUAGUUAAAGAGAAGAUAGCUAGGAGCAAAUCAAAGGAGAGGAAAAAGUCCAAAAGUCCAUCGAAAAGAAGUAAGUCUCAAGAUCAAACAAGAAAGUCAAAAUCUCCCACCCUUAGAAGGCGAUCUCAAGAGAAAAUUGGGAAAGCCAGAUCUCCUGCUGAUGACAAGGUAAAAAUUGAAGAUAAAAGUAAAUCAAAGGAUAGGAAAAAAUCCCCAAUUAUAAAUGAAAGAAGUCGUGACCGAGUCAAAAAAUCCAGAUCCCCGAUUGACUUAAGAGGUAAAUCCAAAGACAGAAGGUCACGUUCCAAAGAAAGAAAAUCAAAACGGUCUGAAACUGAUAGAGAAAAGAAGCCAAUUAAAUCUCCCUCUAAAGAUGCUUCAUCUGGGAAAGAAAACAGGUCACCCAGUAGAAGACCUGGUCGUAGUCCUAAAAGAAGAAGUUUCUCUCCGAAACCACGUGAUAAAUCGAGAAGAAGCAGGUCUCCACUUUUAAAUGACAGGAGGUCUAAGCAGAGCAAGUCACCUUCUCGAACUCUGUCUCCUAGUAGAAGAGCCAGGAGCCGAUCCUUGGAAAGAAAACGAAGAGAACCAGAGAGGCGGCGACUUUCUUCUCCGAGAACACGACCUCGAGAUGACAUCCUCAGUAGACGGGAAAGAUCAAAAGAUGCCAGCCCAAUCAACAGGUGGUCUCCAACCAGAAGAAGAACAAGUAGAUCUCCUAUUAGAAGGAGGUCUCGGUCCCCACUUAGACGUAGCCGAUCUCCAAGAAGAAGAAGCCGAUCUCCCCGGAGAAGAGACAGAGGUCGGAGGAGCCGGUCACGCUUGAGAAGACGGUCUCGAUCACGGGGUGGUCGUAGGCGUAGGAGCAGAAGUAAAGUAAAGGAAGACAAAUUCAAAGGAAGUCUUUCUGAAGGAAUGAAAGUUGAGCAGGAAUCUUCAUCUGAUGAUAACCUUGAAGACUUUGAUGUAGAGGAAGAAGAUGAAGAGGCCCUGAUAGAACAGAGGAGAAUACAGCGGCAGGCAAUUGUUCAGAAAUAUAAGUACCUUGCUGAAGAUAGCAAUAUGUCUGUGCCGUCUGAGCCAAGCAGCCCCCAGAGCAGUACUCGUACACGGUCACCUUCUCCAGAUGACAUUCUGGAAAGGGUGGCUGCUGAUGUCAAAGAGUAUGAACGGGAAAAUGUCGAUACAUUUGAGGCCUCAGUAAAAGCCAAGCAUAAUCUAAUGACCGUCGAACAGAAUAAUGGUUCAUCUCAGAAGAAGCUGUUGGCACCUGAUAUGUUUACAGAGUCUGAUGAUAUGUUUGCUGCAUAUUUUGAUAGUGCUCGUCUUCGGGCUGCUGGCAUUGGGAAAGAUUUCAAAGAGAACCCCAACCUCAGGGAUAACUGGACUGAUGCAGAAGGCUAUUAUCGUGUGAACAUAGGGGAAGUCCUGGACAAGCGUUACAAUGUGUAUGGCUACACCGGCCAGGGUGUGUUCAGUAAUGUGGUGCGAGCCCGAGAUAAUGCACGAGCCAACCAGGAAGUGGCCGUAAAGAUCAUCAGAAACAACGAACUCAUGCAAAAAACUGGUUUAAAGGAACUAGAAUUCUUGAAAAAACUUAAUGAUGCUGAUCCUGAUGACAAAUUUCAUUGUUUACGACUCUUCAGACACUUUUAUCACAAGCAGCACCUCUGUCUCGUAUUUGAGCCUCUCAGUAUGAAUUUACGAGAGGUGUUAAAAAAAUAUGGUAAAGAUGUUGGUCUUCAUAUUAAAGCUGUAAGAUCCUAUAGUCAGCAGUUGUUCUUGGCAUUGAAACUCCUUAAAAGAUGUAACAUCCUACAUGCGGACAUCAAGCCAGACAAUAUCCUGGUUAAUGAAUCAAAAACUAUUUUAAAGCUCUGCGAUUUUGGGUCGGCUUCACAUGUGGCGGAUAAUGACAUAACACCUUAUCUUGUCAGUAGAUUUUACCGUGCUCCUGAGAUCAUUAUAGGUAAAAGCUAUGAUUAUGGUAUAGAUAUGUGGUCUGUAGGUUGUACCUUAUAUGAACUCUAUACUGGAAAAAUUUUAUUUCCUGGCAAAACCAAUAACCAUAUGUUGAAGCUCGCCAUGGAUCUCAAAGGAAAGAUGCCAAAUAAGAUGAUUCGGAAAGGUGUAUUCAAAGACCAGCAUUUUGAUCAAAAUCUCAAUUUCAUGUACAUAGAAGUUGAUAAAGUAACAGAGAGGGAGAAGGUUACUGUCAUGAGCACCAUUAAUCCAACUAAGGACCUGCUGGCUGACUUGAUUGGGUGCCAGCGACUUCCUGAAGACCAGCGCAAAAAAGUACACCAGCUAAAGGACUUGUUGGACCAGAUCCUGAUGUUGGACCCAGCUAAACGGAUUAGCAUCAACCAGGCCCUUCAGCAUGCCUUCAUCCAGGAAAAAAUUUAAACGAGAUGAAGAAGCUCCAAGGGUUUGAGUAAUUAGAUACAAAGACUGAAGAAAUUUCACAGCAGUUUAUUAAUGUAUAUAAACUUAUAAAUAUUUCUCCAGCAAAUUUGAGAAAGCAUGAUAUAUUUGAAUUAACAUCAAGGGUCAUAUUUCUUUUAGAAAUGUUAGUUAAUCUGUUUUGUGUCUUAUGUGAAGUUUUACUGUAGAAUUGUUUUAAUUGCCAAGACUGCACAAAAUUACAGUGCUAAUGUAUAUGGUUGCAGUUCACAUAAAAGACAAAAGCACCUGUUCUGAAACGAGUAGUAAUACUGGGCGGUUGAUUUAUUCUUAGCAGACUUGGCUUCAUUUUGGUCUUCACAGAAAAUGGCCAGCAUAAAUGCUGUUUAUAUUCACGUUUUCCUAGGUGUGUGUGUGCAGGCCACAGCAGCAUGCCCUUGGUGUAGUCAGUGCCGAAAGGGGUCUGUUCCUUCUUGAGCCUGCCUGCAGGGAUGGUCUCCUCUUUUAAAGCAGGUUGUGUACAACAUUCAGUACACUGAAGGUAAGCUAACCCAUCAACAUCACGGUGUUUUAAGAUGUUAUUUUAUUGGAACAAUUGACAAAUGAGGGAUAUUAGCUUUGUGGCAGAAUUCCCUGCAUGUGUGAUAAUUGAUCUUGUUUUAUUUUUGGCAUUGCGACUGUGGCAUAGUUACAAUUUCUGUUCUGUUCAUCACAUUUAAAAUUGGACGAGUAUGCGCUUGAUGGAUAGAGCGCCUUCAGUGUACUGUUUCUUACUAACUUAAUUUUUUUUAAAUCAACUUGCUAUAGACUUUAUAUACAUUUUGUUAAAUACAGUUCCUUAGUAAUAGAAACUGCGUAGUUUUCAUUUACUGAUGACAAAUGUUGAGGCCUAAUUCUGAAAGUCCUCAUAUUUAAAAGUUAGAUAGACAACAUAAUGAAAUUUUUAACUAUUUGUAUGUCAUUUUGAAAGUGUAAUGCUUUAUGGUAAAAGUGUUUUCAUUUGUUCAUUGUUUUCAUUAUUUGUGAUCAUGUUGUCUUUCAAUACAGGCGUAACCCUUCUACUCUUGAACAAAGCAGCUGCUUUUUAAAAGCGAGAAAAGGAAAGCGGGCACAGGCCAUGCGACGCCUUCUCCCAGGGUCUGAUUUGCUGAGACACCAGCUUCACCUUCUUAACAAGGUGCAGCUCAGUGGAAGAUGAUGACAACCAGAAGACAUGAGCUAAGGUUUCUGUCCUAUAAAAGAUUAAAAAAAAAAAAGAAUCUUCCAUUUUUGUCUAAUUUUUUGGUUUUCAGCAUUAUGAUUUGGGUUUCAUUAAUGUUUGAUUUAGAAUAGCUGUGCUCUUGUGGUGUCAUCUGUAAAGUGCUUGUUUAUCAUGUUUCCUGCCCGCCCUCCUCUCUUCCCUGAGGUAGUAUAGUGGUCAGGGCCUGUGGUGCCAAGGUGCUGGCUGGGAGCUCCUGCCCACAGGUUCGUCACAGUGGGUGGCUAAGAUUUACUAGAAGAGCAGUGACCCCCGAAAGGUGAGCUCAGCUUUAGGCAUCAUAUCGCUGACAUAUGCAGAGGAACCCUAUAAGAAUUUUAAGUUCAUUCAUGAUUCAGUUUCUUUAAUACCCUGUUUUCCAGUUUACCUUUCAGUAACUUCUAAUCAAUGCUCUCGUCAUGAUUUUAAAAGACUAUUCUGAGCCAGUGUCAGUUUUGCUUCUCAAGGGAAAUGAGAUGAUCUCUUGUAGGUUAUCACUCAUGUGACAUAAUCUUUAUAUACAUUAAGUUUGUGAUUUUGCUAAGACAAAUUUGGAAUUCUGUGACCUCUGUUAAAAUAAGGUCGUUUAGUAAUGAAUCAUUCAGGUUUCAAACCUGCAUUCAUGUUUCAGGGUAACUAAUAUUUGAACUCAAUUAUAAAGUCUUUGCUUUAUUUUACCCGAUGGCUAAAAUGUUAUUGAGUGGCUGUCAGGCUUCAGACUUCUUAAGACAUAGCCCUCAGAGAGGUCGUUGUUCUUUUUUUAGUUGGAGGAAUAGUUGAGAUCUAAGAGCAUAUACACCUUAGGUAGAGCUUCUGAAGGUUGUUAGAAAUUAGGUUAGAAUUCUGAGGUUUGGACAGGAAGAAACGUCAUGAUAGAGAUCUUAAGACCCUCCUAGUAUUUGUAUUCACCUUCAAACCCUCAUGAGUAGCAUCCUACUUCUUUCCCCUAAUGCUUCUCUUUCUCGUUCCAUUCUACUAUCGCAAAAUAAUUUUGUUUUAAAACAAUAUAAUUUUUACCUUUUCCCAUUAUGGUUACCAUUUAUCCCCCUAACAAAAACAAAAUACACAGGGCAUUUAACCGUAUGAAAAAUUUUUAUAUACUGUUUUAUAAAAUAUGUGAAUAGAAGUAAUGACAUGUAUUAUUUUCAGAUUUGUCCCAUAUUUGCAUUCCUUCUAUGCUUUACCUGUACUCCUGUAAGUAGAAUUCCAGUUGGCUAAGGGCUAGAUAAAUAUAAAAUCUCUGAAGCGAGAUAAAGGAAUUCAUAGAACUUAAAACUUAGGCCAGGCAUUUGGGAAUGCCCUUGUCAAUGCUGGUGAUAGGGAGGAAGCUCGAUACUCAGAUCCGUAAUUUCCUUCCAUUCACUGGAAAUUGGGCUUCAUAAGGUGCUCUCUCCACAGUGUCCUAGUUCAUGCAAAUAUGGCACAGGAACUUUACUUUCCUAGAUGGGGUAUCCUUAUAAGAGCUCACUACAAAUUCAUUUGUGUUUCUUACAUGUCAAUAAUGUACACUAAAUUUAUUCUUUAAAUGUUUUCCAGUUAUUUUGGUAGAUAGCAUCAUGGCAUCUUUAAUUUUUCUUCUCCUUCUAUAUAUAGGGUAAGGGACUGUUCUUCUGAAGAAUCUUUCCAUUUAGUGAUCAAGAUAUGGAAGCUGAUCUCUGAAAAUGUGUAUCCUAAUUGUCUCUGGUAUCAUUUGAACUGUAACCUUUUGAGCAGCAAUGUUCCCCAUUGACUUACUGGGAAAACGGAAUAAAGUCUUCCUUGUUGGAAUGUUGUCUCCUGAUUUUUCCUUUGCUUGCUUGGUAUUUUACUUUAGUUUUAAAUUAAAAACCCCUGUCCUGCCUGAUAUUUCUUAAAAAUUCUCUUUUCCCUGAUGUUCAUAGAUGUGCUUUGGAAGUCCGCUCAGAUACAAUUGUGAACCGCCAGGUAGAUACAUUCAUGUCACAAAUUCUCGACACCUGA